rnacentral:rRNA from 1 species
UGGGGAAUCUUGGACAAUGGGGGCAACCCUGAUCCAGCCAUGCCGCGUGAGUGAUGAAGGCCUUAGGGUCGUAAAGCUCUUUCGCCUGUGAAGAUAAUGACGGUAGCAGGUAAAGAAACCCCGGCUAACUCCGUGCCAGCAGCCGCGGUAAUACGGAGGGGGUUAGCGUUGUUCGGAAUUACUGGGCGUAAAGCGCACGUAGGCGGACCAGAAAGUUGGGGGUGAAAUCCCGGGGGCUCAACCCCGGAACUGCCUCCAAAACUAUUGGUCUAGAGUUCGAGAGAGGUGAGUGGAAUUCCAAGUGUAGAGGUGAAAUUCGUAGAUAUUUGGAGGAACACCAGUGGCGAAGGCGGCUCACUGGCUCGAUACUGACGCUGAGGUGCGAAAGUGUGGGGAGCAAACAGGAUUAGAUACCCUGGUAGUCCACACCGUAAAACGAUGAAUGCCAGUCGUCGGGUAGCAUGCUAUUCGGUGACACACCUAACGGAUUAAGCAUUCCGCCUGGGGAGUACGGUCGCAA